rnacentral:lncRNA from 1 species
AGAUUUUCUAGAGGAACUACAUAUUCAUGAUAUUGAGUUACAUAACAGACAUAGAGCUAUCACAGUCACAUAUAAUGUCUUGGAAGCAGCAUUUUAUAAGAUAUCAAUAAGACAGUGGACAUACUACCCUUUUGGAUGAAUUAAAGCCUGAAGAAGUGUUGAUCUGACAUUAAGGACUGGACCAUACAAUUUUUGCCCUAAUCCUUCAAGUGGUUUGUUUAGAAGGGACUGCAUUGGCUUGUGUGUGUCUGCAUCUUUAAAGGAAAAGACUUGAUUGACUAUUUGUAAAAACAAAAAUUUUAUAGAAUUAUAAACAUGAUAA